GCACUGCUGAGGAGUCCCACAAUAGGAUAAAACGACCGUCCAGUGC
rfam:Schistosoma rodhaini strain Burundi genome assembly, scaffold: SROB_scaffold0000158